rnacentral:rRNA from 1 species
UACGAAGGGGGCUAGCGUUGUUCGGAGUUACUGGGCGUAAAGGGCGCGUAGGCGGCGCACCAAGUCAGGCGUGAAAGCCCUGGGCUCAACCCGGGAAUUGCGCUUGAGACUGGUGUGCUCGAGUACGGGAGAGGAUAGUGGAAUUCCCAGUGUAGAGGUGAAAUUCGUAGAUAUUGGGAAGAACACCGGUGGCGAAGGCGGCGACCUGGUCCGAUACUGACGCUGAGGCGCGAAAGCGUGGGGAGCAAACAGG